AGACUUAGUUAUUUUCUUUAAUGUUAGUUUAAUAGAGGAGCUGUGAUGUAUAUGUAAUGCUAACAACAUGGAAUUCUAAAUAAUAAACAUAACUCCAAUUAUGUAAAUGAGAGAUACCUACAUUGGAGUUAAUAAGUUAUUUGUAGCUUUAAGAGCCAGAAAGAGCCAGAUUUUAUUAACAACCUAUGGAAUGUUUUUGGUAGGUUAGCAUUUGUUAUUUCUUCCAAGAUAUAUUUUAAUCAUAAUAUUUAAAUUUGAGUGUGAACCCUAGUGAUACCUAUUUAUUCCCAUAGUCUGUCUGAAGAAGUAAGUAGGUGAGCAUGGAGGAGAAUUUAAAAUGCUUAUCCUGGUGUUCCCGUUAUGCCACAGUGGAAAUGAAUCCAACUAGGAAUCAUGAGGUUACUGCUUUGAUCCCUGGCUUUGCUCAGUGGGUUAAGGAUCUGGCAUUACCAUGAGCUGUGAUGUUAAGUCCGCAGACGCGGCUCAGAUUUGGUGGUGCUGUGGCUCUGGCAUCAGCUGGCAACUGUAGCUCUGAUUUGACCCCUAGCCUGGGACCCUCCAUAUGCUGUGGGUGUGGCCCUAAAAAGAAAAAUCAAGAUGCCUAUCCUAAGUAGAAGACCUGGAAGGUCAGGUUCUUAUGAAACCACAAAGCAGCACACCUACUUGGAAAACCAGUUUGUGCUGAGCAGGAACAUGCAACUGGGACUGAGCUGGGGUGGAUUCUUUCAAUUUCUUUCAGUUUCUUUCCCUUUGCGUGUUUUCCACCCUAUCAGUCAUUUCAAAGGCACAUGGAUUUAAAUAGUGACAGACACAUUUGAUACUUUACCCUUUAGCCCAGUAGAGUGUGUCUACUUUCCUCACAAUAAUGAGGAAUUUGCAAUAUCACAAGAUCUAAAAACAUUUAUAGGAUAAAAGCCAGGCUUAUAAACCUUGUUUUACUGUAUGCUAUUAUUGUGCUAUGUUAAAUGGAUAUACUCUGUUUUUUCCCUAGAGGAAAUCGUAGUUUGAAUUCUAACUAAUAAGUAUUUAAUUGAAAAGAUGUGUUUGAAAUGGAUUUCAUAGAUAUUUUUCUGGAAUGGGCUAGCACUUAGGAGAAGUUAGACUUUAAUUUCUUCCUCCCAUUUUCCAUAUAUAGUAUGUUAUAUACCUUCUACUUUUCAUAAUAUAUAAUGUGAUCAAAAUUUGGUAUUAUACUAAUAUAAUUUGUUGAAGUGAAUUUGACCUGAUUUGAAUUAAAAGCUCUUUGGAAAUGAAUAUGUUAGGAACUAGAAAUGCUCCUAUAGGUGUUCCUGGAUACUGUACUAGUUCUCUCAUAGACUUUUUGCAUUAUUCCAUCAAAUAGGAAAUAACUGAAACCCCUCAAGCCCAAGUUAUACUUUUUUUUGGGGGGGGAGGCGGUAAUUUACUGUUUUGGAAUUGAAAAUGCAUUUCUUCCUUUGAAACCCAUGUAGUACAUUGAGCGAGGUUCCUAGGACAGAAUUUCCAGAGAUCUUUUCAUCCUAAAAUGGGAGGCCUUGUCUGAUUUCUGGAUCAUUGUUGACAACUACAUAACUGGAAAUGAGAAGAACCCCUAGAAAAGAGAAUUCCAGAGGGAUUUCACCUUACAAUAUUGCUGAAUUAAUGAUACUUUGAAAAAAGCACUACGUUGCUAAAGCAGAUCUUAAUAUGUUCCUGUACCAUCAUCAUAAUGAUAUGUAAAAGUUUUUUUCCUGUAGCUCUUUCUUAAUCUCAACCUUUUGCCACUCACUUUUUUUUUUUUUUUUUUUUGGUCUCAAUUUCCUCACUUAUUUCCAUUUUAAUAUAUAGUACUGGUAUUUUUAUAUGCUAUCAAUCGCUUUGUAAUAAAACAGAAAUAAUUUUUAAAAGUAUCACAUUUAAGAUGUAUUACAAACCACUAACAGAGCAAUUGGGAAAGAUGGAAUAGAGCACUAGACUUGGGCUCAGGUUCUAGCACCACAAUUUUCCAAUUCAGGGCCAAAACUUUGGCCUCUCUCAAGAGACUAUUUUUCUCAUAUACUCUAAGAUCUUAAUGCUGAUUAAGUCAUGUUAUAUUUGGGAAAGUAUAUGGCAUAAACUAGAAAGAUAAUUACAUAUUAGUUGAAUCUAUAUCAGGUUUUCAUAGGUUAGGGAAAAUAUAUUGUGGUUUUUCUUCCUUUUUAAAUCUGUUAUUCCUGUGACCGAAUUGUUACAGUUUGGUGCAUUCAGUAGGAAUGAGUCUAGGCAUUCUGGAUUUUGAGCAUUUGUGAAAAAUCUAAUGAAUGCCACAUCGGUGCUGUGCCCAGAGAGCUUCCUCUAGAGAAGGCUUAUUCCUUGAACUUCCAUGUUGCAUCAGUGCCAGUAGACAGAACCUAUGACAAGAGGAAGCCUUCUCCAAGCCUCCAAAGCAGCACCCUGAAACAUAUAUUCUUAUAGACUUUGUGCUAUAUAGUAUUGAUUUGUCAUGGUUUUCCUUCAAAAGCCAUUUUAUUCUUAACACAAUUAAACAACAGUGCAAUUGUGAGAAUAUAACUAUACUCCCUGUAUUUCUUGUUACAAAUGGGCCUUUCCCUGAGGUGGGUCUAGGCUCUUUUAUGGAGACCUGUCAUCUUCAUGUUGGCCUUUGUUCUGAGCCAGCUUUUUCUUCAGACUGGAACUUCCUUCAGUCUGUUUCAUAUCCAAGCCAAAAAACUCUGUACCCAUGAACUCUAUUAAUGAAGCUGUAUUAUACUGUGAUUGGAAACCUUUUUGGGAGUUCCCUUGUGGCUCAGCAGAAACUAAUCUGACUAGCAUCCUUCAGAAUGCAGGUUCACUCCUUGGCCCCGCUCAGAGGAUUAUGGAUCCGGCUUUGCUGUGAACUGUGGUGUAGAUCACAGAUGGGGCUCAGAUCCUCCGUUGGUGUGGCUAUGGCGUAGGCCUGCAGCUAUAGCUCCAAUUUGACCCUUAUUCUGGGAACCUCCACAUGCCAUGGGUGUGGCCCU
rnacentral:lncRNA from 1 species